rnacentral:rRNA from 1 species
AUUGAACGCUGGCGGCAGGCCUAACACAUGCAAGUCGAACGAGUGGCGGACGGGUGUGUAACGUCUGGGAAAACGCCCGCUGGAGGGGGGUAAAAACUGGCAAAGGGAGCUAAAAACGCAUACCAUAGGAAGUGGACAGAUGGGGUUGGCUUGUAGGGGAGGUAACGGCUCACAUAGGCGACGAUCCCUAGCUGGUCUGAGAGGAUGACCAGCCACACUGGAACUGAGACACGGUCCAGACUCCUACGGGAGGCAGCAGUGGGGAAUAUUGCACAAUGGGCGCAAGCCUGAUGCAGCCAUGCCGCGUGUAUGAAGAAGGCCUUCGGGUUGUAAAGUACUUUCAGCGGGGAGGCGUUACCCGCAGAAGAAGCACCGGCUAACUCCGUGCCAGCAGCCGCGGUAAUAC